AGGGAAUAUUGGACAAUGGGCGCAAGCCUGAUCCAGCCAUCCCGCGUGAAGGAUUAAGGCCCUCUGGGUUGUAAACUUCUUUUCUCUGGGAAUAAAAACCGGUAUUUAUACUGGCUUGAAGGUACCAGAGGAAUAAGCACCGGCUAACUCCGUGCCAGCAGCCGCGGUAAUACGGAGGGUGCAAGCGUUAUCCGGAUUCACUGGGUUUAAAGGGAGCGUAGGUGGCUUUGUAAGUCAGUGGUGAAAGCCCGGAGCUUAACUCCGGAACUGCCAUUGAUACUGCUUAGCUUGAAUCAACUUGAGGUGGAUGGAAUAUUACAUGUAGCGGUGAAAUGCUUAGAUAUGUAAUAGAACACCGAUUGCGAAGGCAGUUCACUAAGGUUGUAUUGACACUGAGGCUCGAAAGCGUGGGGAUCAAAC
rnacentral:rRNA from 1 species